rnacentral:tRNA from 1 species
GGGGAUGUAGUUCAAUGGUAGAACUUCAGCUUCCCAAGCUGACGGCGCGGGUUCGAUUCCCGUCAUCCCCUC